UACUCUGAGCAAGACAAGCCAGUCACAA
rnacentral:piRNA from 1 species